GUGAGUGGCGGACGGGUGAGUAACACGUGGGUAACCUGCCCUAAAGUGGGGGAUAACAUUUGGAAACAGAUGCUAAUACCGCAUAAAACCUAACACCGCAUGGUGUAGGGUUGAAAGAUGGUUUCGGCUAUCACUUUAGGAUGGACCCGCGGUGCAUUAGUUAGUUGGUGAGGUAAAGGCUCACCAAGACCGUGAUGCAUAGCCGACCUGAGAGGGUAAUCGGCCACACUGGGACUGAGACACGGCCCAGACUCCUACGGGAGGCAGCAGUAGGGAAUCUUCCACAAUGGACGAAAGUCUGAUGGAGCAACGCCGCGUGAGUGAAGAAGGUUUUCGGAUCGUAAAACUCUGUUGUUGGAGAAGAAUGUAUCUGAUAGUAACUGAUCAGGUAGUGACGGUAUCCAACCAGAAAGCCACGGCUAACUACGUGCCAGCAGCCGCGGUAAUACGUAGGUGGCAAGCGUUGUCCGGAUUUAUUGGGCGUAAAGCGAGCGCAGGCG
rnacentral:rRNA from 1 species